GAUGAACGCUGGCGGCGUGCCUAAUACAUGCAAGUCGAGCGAACAGACGAGGAGCUUGCUCCUCUGACGUUAGCGGCGGACGGGUGAGUAACACGUGGAUAACCUACCUAUAAGACUGGGAUAACUUCGGGAAACCGGAGCUAAUACCGGAUACUAUAUUGAACCGCAGGGUUCAAUAGUGAAAGACGGUUUUGCUGUCACUUAUAGAUGGAUCCGCGCCGCAUUAGCUAGUUGGUAAGGUAACGGCUUACUAAGGCAACGAUGCGUAGCCGACCUGAGAGGGUGAUCGUCCACACUGGAACUGAGACACGGUCCAGACUCCUACGGGAGGCAGCAGUAGGGAAUCUUCCGCAAUGGGCGAAAGCCUGACGGAGCAACGCCGCGUGAGUGAUGAAGGUCUUCGGAUCGUAAAACUCUGUUAUUAGGGAAGAACAAAUGUGUAAGUAACUAUGCACGUCUUGACGGUACCUAAUCAGAAAGCCACGGCUAACUACGUG
rnacentral:rRNA from 1 species